rnacentral:rRNA from 1 species
AUGUCUAUGAUGAGUGAACUCAAAUUCUUCCUUGGGUUGCAAAUCAAGCAAACUAAGGAAGGUACCUUUGUUUCUCAAACGAAGUACACCAAGGACUUAUUCAAGAAGUUCAAUAUGCAAGAAUGCAAAGGUAUGUCUACACCCAUGCCUACUAGUGGACAUAAUGACUUGACCAAAGAUGGUGAACCGGUUGAUCAAAAGGUUUAUCGCUCUAUGAUUGGUUCAUUGUUAUAUCUAUGUGCUUCACGUCCCGAUAUCAUGCUAAGUGUGUGCAUGUGUGCACGAUAUCAAGCUGCUCCUAAGGAAUGUCAUCUUAAGGCCGUGAAAAGGAUAGUGAGAUACUUAAUCCAUACACCAAUUUUUGGCAUUUGGCAUCCCAAGAGGGCCUCUUUCGAUCUUGUUGGCUAUUCCGACUCGGACUAUGCCGGAGACAAGGUUGAUAGAAAGUCCACUUCAGGUACUUGUCAAUUUCUUAGUAGAUCUCUUGUGUCUUGGUCCUCCAAGAAACAAAACUCGGUAUCCUUAUCCACCGCCGAAGCUGAAUAUAUUGCCGCUGGUUCAUGUUGUGCUCAAUUACUUUGGAUGACCCAAACUCUUAAAGAUUAUGGGAUAUAUGUGAGACAUGUUCCAUUGCUUUGUGACAAUGAAAGUGCUAUCAAAAUUGGUCAUAAUCAUGUGCAACAUUCUCGAACUAAGCAUAUUGAAGUUCGUCAUCACUUCAUUCGAGAUCAUGUUGCUAAGGGUGACAUUGAUCUUAAGCAUGUUCGCACCGAAAAGCAAUUAGCAGAUAUAUUCACUAAACCUCUUGAUGAGAAAGUGUUUUGCAGGUUAAGAGGAGAAUUGAACAUCAUUGAUGCUUCAAACUUGGAGUAG